GCUGUGUAAAGGGUAUAGGGUAGUGGUGUCUGUGUGAGAGAGGGCUGUGUUAAGGGUAAAGGGCAGUGGUGUCUGUGAGAGAGAGGGCUGUGUUAAGGGUAUAGGGUAGUGGUGUCUGUGUGAGAGAGGGCUGUGUUAAUGGUAUAGGGUAGUGGUGUCUGUGUGAGAGAGGGCUGUGUUAAGGGUAAAGGGCAGUGGUGUCUGUGAGAGAGAGGGCUGUGUUAAGGGUAUAGGGUAGUGGUGUCUGUGUGAGAGAGGGCUGUGUUAAGGGUAAAGGGCAGUGGUGUCUGUGAGAGAGAGGGCUGUGUUAAUGGUAUAGGGUAGUGGUGUCUAUCAGAGAGAGGGCUGUGUUAAGGGUAAAGGGUAGUGGUGUCUGUGAGAGAGAGGGCUGUGUUAAGGGUAAAGGGUAGUGGUGUCUAUGAGAGAGGGCUGUGUUAAGGUUAAAGGGUAGUGGUGUCUAUCAGAGAGAGGGCUGUGUUAAGGGUAAAGGGCAGUGGUGUCUGUGAGAGAGAGGGCUGUGUUAAUGGUAUAGGGUAGUGGUGUCUAUCAGAGAGAGGGCUGUGUUAAGGGUAAAGGGUAGUGGUGUCUGUGAGAGAGAGGGCUGUGUUAAGGGUAAAGGGUAGUGGUGUCUAUGAGAGAGGGCUGUGUUAAGGGUAAAGGGCAGUGGUGUCUAUCAGAGAGGGCUGUGUUAAGGGUAAAGGGUU
rnacentral:lncRNA from 1 species